rnacentral:RNase_P_RNA from 1 species
UAUCCAAAUGAGCAGAGAUCGCUCCUUGUCUUUUUAGACUCGGAGAGGAAAGUCCGGACACCAUAAAAAGGUAAUGGGUAACACCCAUCAACUAAUCCGUAAUGUUUAGUUAGGACCAGUGCCACAGAGACUAUACUAGUACUGAGCUGCAAAGCAAAGUACCAAACGUGAAAAGUGUUUUGAGGUUUUUGUUCUCGAGAUAAAAGCUACAAAACUCGGCCUCUGGUAACAGAGUGACCGUGGUAAACUUCUACCAGGUGCAAGAGCAAACUCACUAAUUAUUUUGGUGAAGACAAGUAGUUCGCUUGAGCUCUGACGCAAGAAAGAGCCCAGAUAGAUGAUCUCCCCUUUUUUAUAAAAAAGGGACAGAAUCCGGCUUACUUAUUUGGAUAUUUA